GUCUACAGCCAUACGGCUCUGAACACCCCUGAUCUCAUCUGAUCUCAGAGGCUAAGCAGAGUCACAUCUGGUUAAUACUUGGAGGGGAGAAAACGCAGGCAAGGACCUAAAAUGGUGGCCC
rnacentral:rRNA from 1 species